AUCCCUAUGAGAGGAAAUGGCUUUUAAUCAUUUACUCUUUAUGCAUUUUGUGUAAAUAUUAUUUCAUCUAAAAAUCAUACUACGCAGGGUUAUUGGAAAAUGUAAGCGGACCGUGAAAAACAGAUCCCAAAUUGAGGGAUCGAUAUGUGAGGCUUAUUUGGCUAAAGAAACCUCUUAUUUUUGUUCAUAUUAUUUUGAACAUGAUGUGCCAUGCUUGAGAAAUCGACCUAAUCGACAUAAUGAUUGAGGCAAUACCGACCCCUCGGCACCACCCUUUUCAAUAUUCAAUCAACCAGGUAAAGGGGGUCCAAAACAUAGUCCAAAGCGGUCUUUGACUGAGAUAGAGCUUAAGUCAGCUACAACACAUGUAUUAUUAAAUUUCCCCGAGGUCCUACCUUUUUAUAAGUGAGUAUAUAUUUAUAUUAGCGACUUAUAUACAAGAUUCAUCUUGGCUUUAACUAAUGAAAGUUGUAACUUUGUCGAGCAGUUACUUUGUGGAUACACAUGGGCCUGAUGCCGUUUAUCCUAUGUUUUCACAGUGGUUUAGGGAAUAUGUUCAUAAUCCAGUUAAUUAUGAUGUACAUGGCCAAUUUUUGCGUGAUAUAGCUUGGGGACCUGAUGCAAAAGUCAGAAAGUUGUCUAAGUAUUUUCUCAAUGGGUACAGGUUUCAUACGGAAGAGUGGUCUAAGGGCAAGAAAACCAAUAACAGUGGGGUGUGGGUGAAAGGUGAUGGUGAUGUUGAUUAUUAUGGUGUGCUUCAAGAGAUUUUAGAACUCGAGUAUCCUAUUGGUUGGCCAAAGAAGAAGUUGGUACUCUUUCGGUGUAAAUGGUAUGAUCCAACACCUAGGUCAGCUACAAAGGUGCAUCGUCAUUACAAAAUAGUUGAAAUUAAGCACACGAGGGAGUAUGGACUCUAUGAUCCAUUUGUCAUUGCACAAAAUAUGAAACAAGUGUAUUACGCGCCUUAUCCUUUGUGCAAGAAUCAGUCUGCAUGGCGGGUAGUUAUAAAAACAAAGCCCGUGGGUAGAGUGGAAGUAGAGGAUGCAUUAGAUGUAGCGUACCAGAAUGAUAUUUCAAGUGUUGAAGAAAGGGUGGAUGAUGAAUUAGCAGGUGAAUUACAGCAUAGCGAAGGCCUCUAUGAAGAAUUUGAUCCUUCGGAACUUAGAUUAAAUCUUAACGAUUAUGGGGAAGGAACGUCCAGGGCAAACGAGGAGAAAGACUCAGCCGAUGAAUAUGGAACAAGCAAGGAAGAAUUACUUGAUGAAAAUGAAACAAGUGAUGAGGAAGAAUUGAUGAAUGAAUAUGAAUCAAACGAAGAGGACUGAGUUGUUAAUAAUAAUAGUUCAUUCCCUCAUAUGCCGGGAAUAUGGUUACAGCAUCAUUUAAACCAUUUUUCGUGAUGCUUGGGUACAUACAGGGCCAUUCCGUACGAUGUCAGAAUGCUAAUGUGGGAUCAGUUUAAGACAAAGUGUACAUGGCAGCCUCGUUAUGAAAAUGAAAUCUAUACCAUUUUCGAGAAGAAGUUAACUUUGCGGAUUAAAGAACACCUGUAUAAUGCCAGAGAUCUCAAUAAGAAGCCUGAAUGGUUGCGGGCUGAUGUGUGGGCUAAAUAUUUGGUGUAUUGGAACACUCCUCAAUUUAAGAAGAAGAGUGAAAAAGCAAAGAAUGCCCGAGCCUCUCAAAAGGGUGGCUCGUUGCACACCGGAGGUUCCAUGAGUUUCGCACCAACGAAGACUGGUAAUUUAGCCAAUAAAUUUUCCUCCUUUUAAAUUGUCUAAAUACGAUUAAAGUUUUAUCCAACUAUUAUUUUUUUUGCAGCGAAAGUUAAAUGGGGGAGAGACAGUGCCUCUUUUUGAGGUCUUCGAGGAGACACAUAAGAAGAAGAAGGGGGGCGGUACAAGAGAAGGAUGGGUCGAGCCACGUGCUAAGGAGACAUAUGAAGGCUUUCAAAAAGGUUUGGAAGAUUGGCGUCAGACCCAGCCUGCUUCAGAGGAUGGUACCUCAGUCCGACCAUCGCUCACGGAUAUGACUUCAAUAUGGACACAUGUGGCAGGUGGUCCAAGCAAAGGUAGAGUCUACGGGCUUGGAGUUUUGCGUUCCUCGUCUAGGCCUUCGCCGUUCUUGUCCAAUGCUCCUACUUCGCAAAAUAUGGAAGAGAUGGAAGCGAUGCACAGGGAAAUUGCAGAGCUGAAGAAAAAGUGUGAAACUUCUGAUGCUAAUUAAGCUU